rnacentral:rRNA from 1 species
UACGGAGGGUGCAAGCGUUGUCCGGAUUUAUUGGGUUUAAAGGGUGCGUAGGCGGCCCUUUAAGUCAGUGGUGAAAUAUCCCAGCUUAACUGGGAGGGUGCCAUUGAUACUGCGGGGCUUGAGUACAGAUGAGGUAGGCGGAAUUGACGGUGUAGCGGUGAAAUGCUUAGAUAUCAUCAAGAACACCGAUAGCGAAGGCAGCUUACUAGGCUUUAACUGACGCUGAGGCACGAAAGCGUGGGGAGCAAAC